CCUUCCUCAGUAAACCGGACUCUGCCACUUGUGUUGAACCUUAUCUUCCUGGUACAAUUGCGAUAUGGAACAGAGAGAGAGCUGGACAGCACAGAUUUCCGAUUGCUCCAUCUGGUCAGCAAUUUAUCUGGGAAGUGCUGUCUAACAGACCUUGAAAUUCUUCAGCCAUCCCUAAACUUCCUGUACUUGAGCCUUUGGCAGACAACAUCUUCCAGUCAGCAAAGAGUGGUGGUGAUGUUACUUUCUAAUUCACCUCUGCUAGAGCUACUUGAGAAGAUUCUCCAUUGCACUUGGAUGCCAACCUCUUCCCCUGAUCCUGCUUUCCCUUCAUCUACUGAAGCCCUUUUGUGCUCUGCUUGGCUGCUGACUGCUUCCCUCUUGACUCAACAACAUAAUUACAAUAUAGAGGUUCAUCAUAUAAUCUGUCUGGAUGUGGACAAGGUCGUCAGUGCAGUUGCCUUGAGGAGGAGGAAGUCCAUGUUAUUCUCUGGCAAGUGAUGUCUUUGCCAACAUCCUUUAAAGCUAGAAGAGCACUGGAAUGGGAAAUAAAGGCCACAAGUCAUGUCAGAAAAAUUUAAUUCAAUUGUGCUAGGCAAAUACUGGCUCAGAAGUUGUAGCCAGUUGUUGAAGUAUUGUGUUUGUACAUCUUCAGGUUAAAGACAUGACUAUUCAUUGGCGGGAGUGCACAGUUCCUAUAAGAAAGUGGGUUGAAGUUGUAUUAAAUGUGUAUCAAGCAAAAAGUGGGG
rnacentral:lncRNA from 1 species